rnacentral:rRNA from 1 species
UACAGAGGGUGCGAGCGUUAAUCGGAAUUACUGGGCGUAAAGCGCACGUAGGCGGCUUGGUAUGUCGGGUGUGAAAUCCCCGGGCUCAACCUGGGAACUGCAUCCGAAACUGCCUUGCUCGAGUAUGGGAGAGGGAAGUGGAAUUUCCGGUGUAGCGGUGAAAUGCGUAGAUAUCGGAAGGAACAUCAGUGGCGAAGGCGGCAUCCUGGACCGGCAUUGACGCUGAGGCGCGAAAGCUAGGGGAGCAAACGGG